AGGGAACGCGUGGGUCCGUGUGGCGCUGCCCGCGCCGCUCUUGCCCCGCCCCCUCCGAGACCGCGGGGCGGCGUGUCUCGGACGCGUCCUGGUGUCAGAGCAGCUGGGAGCUCCUGGGCGCUGGACCCUCACUGUGAGCCCUGACACAAUUCACGAGAGAACGCCCAGAGCCUACGUCUCUGUGCCGCCCCACGGCGGGGACCCUGCUCCCCACAGCCCCUACCACCUCAAGCGGUGUCCCCCGCCCUAGUUGCUUGAUUUAGGAGUUGUUAUAACUCAAGGGGGAAAGAGAGGUUGUUUUCUCCUGAUGUUUCCUCACCUCGGUGGUUCUCAGUCCUUUUUUUUUUUUUUGGAUUCCGGUCACCCAUCAAGAAAAUGCCAGCUCUGAGCUUUCGUUUACUUUUUUGAGCCCAGAAAAAUAGGAGAGCAGCUCUUCUGUUGCAAAGAACUUGGGAAAGCCAGGGUCCGAAUGGCUUGGGUGUGGCGCAGGCCUUGGGGGUUUUCCUCUGCGGCAACCUGCGUGAUCUCUCAGGCCUCUCCAUGAAAGCGAAGAUCUGCACUCUACCACUUCUCCAGGAACAAGGGAGCGCCUUGCAAUGCAGAAGGACUCACACUCUCAAGCAACUCCCUGUGGUGCAGUGAAUCCAAAGAGCGGCUCAUAGGACGCUUUGGUGUAGGCCCCCCUCUCCAGCCCAUUGCUGAAGGGCAGGUGUAGAGGUGCAGGCCCCCGGAACUAGCCAUUGGGGAGCCCCAAGCCCCAGACUGCCUGGAUAGGGGUGAAGCCUCCCCAAGAGGGUACCACCUAUAGACUUUGCUUUGCAGUUAAUAAUGUUUUUAAAUUAUAUUUAUUGUUUUCUUUUAGUUUUUGCUUUAAUUGUCUGUAAUCAGUUUGGGUUUUAGUGUUUACAUUGCUUGUGAGGAGGGAGUUUUGUUUAUACGGGAUACCCCAGCAAAUUUAAUGUUCCCAGAUUUCUGGGUGGGGGCUUGAGCCACUGCUAUAAUUUAUGGGGUACCUCAAAAUGCGAACCCGGCCUUCCUUGCUGCCAACCAGUCCCUAGCAGAAGGGUUACAUGUACAUAUAUUUAAAACAUUAAGAAUUCUGGAAAGUCUUCAGUCCCUCUUAAAUCCAUGCUGCCCUGUGAACCUUAGGAUCUCAGAGGAGCCCCAGGGGUCUCUAGUUCCUUCUGUAACCCUUACGUCUGCAUUUCAAGGAGUUAAGCAGAGAGGGGUAGGACUAUUCCAAGCCCAGGAAAACCAGACCCAGAGAGCUGGGUUGAACUAUAGUCCCCAGAUUGCCUUGAGGGUUAACAGGAGGGGAAGUGGGAAAGAGGAGCUGCAAGUUGGGAACUAUUUUGCUGGGCACUGUGUGGAAGGAGCAGGAGAGAGGUCUUGUUCCAUGAUAUGCUCCAUAUACUGUUGAAUGAGGCCCCAGGGAGAUUGUGGAGGAGCCUAGUCUGAAUGCAACUGGGAGAAGAGUUGACUCUCCCACUAAGGAGACUCCAGCAGAGACAGAAUCAGAGUGCUGCAACAGAGCAGAGCCUGGAUAAGAUGCACGUAAAAGACUGCAGAAAGUAGUAUGGUGAGUUCAGCUGUGGAGCAGUGAAAGUCCUUGUGCCAUCUGGGACAGCUGAGGCUGUGCACAAAGUGAAGUGUCUCACCCCCAAGGGUCCUUGUGAGACUGUUGGAGUUGGAGAUUUAAGCUGUACUGUUGAAAAGGGUAAUUUUGUUAUCACGCUUCCAUUCUGGGUUUCAUAGUUUGCAGUUCUAAUGCCUAUGGGUAUAAAUUAAUCCAACCUGGGGAUAAACUGAUUCACCACAGCUACAUGAUAGCUAGAAAAUGUCAUUUAGAGGUUUGCUUUUGGAAACUGGCUUCUAGGUAAAGUAUUAGAAAAAUGGUCCAGGGGAAUGGCAAGAGUUAAUUGAUUUCUAAAAAGCCUGUUCUGUGAGAAAGUGUCCUCAAAGCCCACUGUGUUUGAUAGGCAAGCAGCAAACAGACACACAGGCUGAGAAACUGAAGACACGUUCCACCCUGUUCCAUAACCUGAGAUAAGGGUGGCACCAGGUCACAGUGCCCAAGUGCAGAGCCCUUGGGAUUUCUGGUUUUGGGGGAACAGACCAAAUUAGGAGGACACCAGUAAAGCCCAUAUUAGGAUGUGUGUAUGUGAUGGGCUUAUGAAACAAAGGAAAAUGCUGACAGGACAGAAUGUGGAUAGUAUGACAACCAAAGAGAGACCAACCAGCGAUGGUCAGAAAUGAAAUCAUCACAGGAGGAAAAAAAGAAUACAAAAGGAAGGAUUUUAGAGCAGGAAAAGGUCCCUGAGAGGAGAACCCGAGGCCACCAUGGACAGAAAGCAUAUCACCAAUCCAUCUCACCCACCCCACUGGGAGAGGGGUGGGCCUCAGCCUCCGGGCUGCUGGCAUCUGAUAUUCAAGAGAGAACCUCAGAGAGAAGGUUGUGUACUGGCCAGACAUACUUUGACUCUGAUGACAACCCUGGGACUGGUAGAUAUAGAAUAGUUUGCAUUAUUUUUAUCUAUUAUCACUGUGCAUCAAUAAAAUUAACCUAUUAUCGAAUGGAAA